rnacentral:rRNA from 1 species
UAAAGGGACUGCCGGUGUUAAACCGGAGGAAGGUGGGGAUGACGUCAAGUCCUCACUGGCCUUUAUGACCACGGGCUACACACGUACUACAAUGGCCGAUACAAAGGGCAGCGACACUGCGAGGUGAAGCCAAUCCCGUAAAAUCGGUCUCAGUCCGGAUUGGAGUCUGCAACUCGACUCCAUGAAGUUGGAAUCGCUAGUAAUCGUGGAUCAGCAUGCCACGGUGAAUACGUUCCCGGGCCUU